rnacentral:rRNA from 1 species
UACGUAGGGGGCAAGCGUUGUCCGGAUUUAUUGGGCGUAAAGAGCGUGUAGGCGGUCUGGUAGGUCCGUUGUGAAAACUCGAGGCUCAACCUCGAGACGCCGAUGGAAACCAUCAGCCUAGAGUCCGGAAGAGGAGAGUGGAAUUCCUGGUGUAGCGGUGAAAUGCGCAGAUAUCAGGAAGAACACCCGUGGCUAAGGCGGCUCUCUAGUACGGUACUGACGCUGAGACGCGAAAGCGUGGGGAGCGAACAGG